GUAAGUCUCGUUUUGUAUACAUACCAAUUAGAAAAUACGUUUUCAGGUUUUCAGUUCCAAUUUCCUCGUAUCUCGCAAGCGAAAGGAAGUGAUUAUCAUUACGAUAAUCAGUACGGAUUAUGGUUGUGUCUCCAAGGAUGGUCAUUUUGUAUUGAAGUUUUGUUGGUCUGUAUUGACCUCCAGUACCGCUUAUCUUAAAAUUUUCAACCACUCUCCAUUCUCCUACAGGAUUAACUCAAGAGUCUCCCCGCCGAAAUUGGUUUUCGAUGGUUUCCACGAAUGAAGAAGUUUGACACGGACUCGCCAUUCGUCUUUGAAAGGGAGGUGAAUAAUCUAGGUUAUAUAGAGUUAUUGCGUGCGGAGAUAUUGUAACUAAUUAUUCUGGCAUUCGACGGCUUUUAAGGUGAUUGGGGAAGCGGUCUUAAGAGGGCUUGGAGAUAUUUAGCUGGGAUAAAUUUUAGACUUGGGAAAGAAGUUUAAUUUUGAAAAGAAGGGCCGGCUUUAUUGCGAAGAUUUCACCGAGAAUCCAGGCAAUUACGUCUAACAUACAUUUUCCAAACUUCAAUAUAUUUUAAGAUAUUUUCAGAUAUAAAAUAAUAUUAUGUUUCUUUAAUUGUUUGAUUAAUUAAUAUCCAUUUGGGUAGCCGAUAAUCGGGGUAAGGAACCCGGUAACCGUUGUAAAUUGUUUGAUUUCAAUUUUGGUUAAUAGCUUAUGUUAAUCAAAUUA